ACCGGCGCACGGGUGCGUAACGCGUAUGCAAUCUACCUUGUACAGGGGAAUAGCUUUCGGAAACGAGAAUUAAUACCCCAUAGUAGGAAGAUAACGCCUGUUAUCUUUCUUAAAGCUUCGGUGGUACAAGCGGAGCAUGCGUCCCCUUAGCUAGUAGGUGAGGUAACGGCUCACCUAGGCGAUGAUGGGUAGGGGUUCUGAGAGGAAGAUCCCCCACACUGGCACUGAGACACGGGCCAGACUCCUACGGGAGGCAGCAGUAGGGAAUAUUGGUCAAUGGGCGCAAGCCUGAACCAGCCAUGCCGCGUGCAGGAAGAAGGCCCGUAAGGUUGUAAACUGCUUUUAUAGGAGAACAAACCCCUCCGGCGGGAGGGUCUGAGGGUAUCCUAAGAAUAAGCACCGGCUAACUCCGUGCCAGCAGCCGCGGUAAUACGGAGGGUGCAAGCGU
rnacentral:rRNA from 1 species